rnacentral:lncRNA from 1 species
CAGUUAAUUGUGGAUCCAAAGAGGAGUCUGGUGCUGGAGCUGAGAUUGAAGGAAUAACUAAUUAGGUUGAGUUUGAAGAUUCAAGUAAGCAAAAUAACAAUUCAUUUGUUGGCUUGAGAUUGUUGUGAGCCUAGCUUUCAAAUUCAAUGGAUGAUUUGUGGUGUUGUAGUUUUCCCACUGGAUACUCAAUCCCACAUGCACCAAGUUCUCUCUCUCUCUCUCUCUCUCUCCUUAUCUCCCUCCAUAGGUUUAUAUUUUUGCUAGUAUUAAGUUCUAAAUUUGGGGGAAGGGUUUUUUCAAUUUGGAAGAUGUAGUAGAUAUUAUUUAACCGAUGGCUUACACAAUAAGUGGCAUUUUUUCGUCUCACCUGUAAAGUUCUCAAUGCCGUGUGCCAAGCUACUUUCUGUUUAGAUUCCAACAGGUUUAUGCAUCCUUCAGCGACAAUAGUUUUUUGUGUGAAUUUUGGUGUUCUUAUGUUUCUAAAAUUCAUUCAGGGAGCAAGUAGAAUCUUCUUAAGUAUUGGAGGAUUUAAAAGUUUGUCAAUUGUUUACCUUUCUUUUUCCAGAGGGUAUAAUUCCAAUGUUUUAAAUUUUUUCAGCAGACAAGGAAGCAGCUGACAAAAGGAAAUUGGUGAGCAAAUGGCAUCCUACAACGAAGGGAACACUUAAAAGGAACUACAGGGUGCCUUCCAAAUCUGAAGGAAGACGCCUUCUUAAAGCAAUUGCAUCAUUACUAUCUGAUGAUGAUCAUUUUACUGAUGCCACUUCCCACAAGGUAACGCCAUGUUAAAAAAACAAUCUCUAGAACUCUAAUUCCUUUGUCCUUCUAAGUGCAUUGGCAAAUGUGGGAAUUUGAAAUAAUGCUUGGACUGACAUUCUGCAGAAUUUGUUUUACUGUUAUAGGGUUGUCAAAUUAGGAGAGAGACUGCUCAUGGCGAAAGUGUGUGCUGCAACAAUGUGAGGGUUUUGUUUGAUGAACUCCCAACCCCACAUCUGGUGGUGGAAAUCACAGCUUUUCCGGCAGGUCCUCUCACAGAAAAUGACUAUGUCAAGGCUGAGAAAUUAGAGAGAGCGCUUAGAUCUGGCCCUUCUGUCUGAAGUCUUCUUCAGAAACUUCUCCUUUUGUAUGUAUUCAAACUUCACUUGUACAUAAAAAUCAACAAGUUGGGAAUGUAACCUUCUGCUUUUUGCCAAUCUUACCACUUUUAAAGGCGACAGUGGUCAUCUAAAUGAGAUUAUUUUGCUUCAAUAUGAUAUAGACAAUGCAUCAUUUCUUGCUUGCUAUGCAUUUAUAUGCUCCCCAUUCCCACAUCUUUGAAUGGCGCACGUUUCAUUUUCUCCAAUCUUUUCUUUUUCAAUAUUUGGGUUGAUCAUGCAAGAAGAAAGAAAGAUUAUUCUGCAAGGACUAGGAGACGGUUAUAGUCCAGGUGACUUGCUGCGGGUUAUUUUUGAGGAAAAAAAGAAGAGAAAGAAAAGAAGAGCUUUGAAAUAAAGAAUAACUUUGCCCUUUACUUAACGGAGAUUCAUGAAUAAUUGGAGAUAUUAUGAUACAAAUCGACAUUAUUGUUAUAAAAAUUGAAAUUGACCACUUUUUUUAGUACCUUUUUUUUUUGUCUAAAAAGAGCAUAAUUAACCAACGAUAUGAAAAUGCCUAAAUGAUAACAAAUAUUCUGAAUAUGUCAAUCGGCCAAAUUCAAAUUCAAUAGUGGGUUCCUUACCAAAAAGAAAGAAAUAUAAUGGGGCAUUGUUUUCUUUCCACCCGGAGGACCUCCACACUAGCAGUAAGCUACAAAUUUCUAUUGGGAGGGUAAAGUACAAAUACUGAAAGGGAAAUACUCAUAUUUUGCACUAUAGUUCGGUUUAAUAAUAUUAGUAAACUCAUCUGUUAUAUCAACUCAGAUGAUGAAAAUUUCCACAUCCUCCCGCGUCUUCAACACUCCUGUUGAUUUUAGGAGAGGAUUUAUAGAAACAUAAUAUAAUAGUCAUCUCCAGUUCUACUCCUUCAAAUAUGACCACUUUAACACAACUCGCUAUACCUCACAAGAAGUUGCAUUUCAAAGAGAAACAAGAAACAGUUUGUUUCAGAAAAACCUAAAUUAGCCAAUUCAUUCUAAACGCUUACUUUACUCCGACAGAGGCCAUCAAAUCUUCAUAUUCAGGGUCAGUCUCCUGCUUUCUUCCAUUUAACAGAUUACCUCCUGGCUGUUGAGGCUUUAUAGGAACAGAGGUUGGUGAAAAUGGAUCAUAAAUUUGUUGCCCUCCAGGACUAGGUGCAAAAGACAGAUUUCUGUUGGAUUGUUGAUUUGGUCCCAUGAAAUUGCCACGCGGGGUUAUAGGACCUGGAUAAUUAUGCUGAACUUGUAGGGGAUUCCCUGGUCUAGGAGGAAAGGGGCCUGGCAAAUCAGGCAGUCGGGCAGCCUGACUGAAGUUUCGAGCUGGAGGUAUAAUUGGACUUGCAUUUGAAAAUGCUGGAACUCUGGGUGGAACUGGGCCAGCAGAAUUGCCAACAAAAGGAAUAGCGGACAUGUGAGCCUGAGUUUGACCCAUUUGAUUGCUUACCUGUGACCUUGGAAAUACAGGCAUACCAGGUGGAGGAAUUGAAUUUGGCACAGCCAACCUGAAAGAUGGUGCUGGAGGUGAUGGUUGCAUCAUUGGUCUAGCAAGUGGAGGAUCCUGAGUCAUAGGUUGAUUGCUUGGCCUCAGAUGAGGUGCCAGAUUCUGCGGAUGACAAGGUUGAAAAGUGAAAUCACCAGGACCUGAAUGCUGCAUCGCAGGACCAGCUAUUGCUGGUCGUGUGAGAGUAGGAUUUGACACAUUUCCGGGAAAGGAUCCCGCAGUUCCAGACUGCAGAGUUGGCUGUGAUGCAGAUGUCAUUGGCAAAGAAAUUGGCGUGCUUCCCGACACAGGGUUUAUUAAUGCAUGAGAUAGAGGUGUAGAGGAAGAACUCACUUGAGGGGGCAGAACCGAAACUAAACUUGAGGCUCCACUUACUUGAUUCAUCAGAACAUUGAUUGAGGAAGGAGCAGAUGGAAAUGAUACAGGAGGAACUAUAUUAGCUGCAGGCAUUGUUGAAGGCAGUGCAGAAGACAAAAAACCUGAUUGUGGAACUACUGGCCGAGGCCCCUGCAAAGAACCCAUGGGAGGAACCAUUUGUCCCAUGUUACCUGGAACUAAAGGUGCUGGAACACCACCGGAAGCCAGAGGCCAUCCAGACGAGCUCCCCACAGAUGUCAAUGAUCUGUCAGAUUGUGGUCCUGGUGGAACACUUGACACAGGCUGAGGCAAUGAUGGCACUAAUGGUCCAGCAACUGGAGAUGGCAUGGCAGGUGGGGCUUGGUUACCAGUGAAUGAAAGUGAAGCCAAGACAUUAGAUUGAACAGAUGAAGGCUGAGGAGCUGGCAUGGGAAGGUUUCUUGGUGCAUAUGGAUGUGAUGGAACUUGAAUCGGCAGCUGUGGCCUGGAAGGAACAGGAGACCCAUUUAGAAAAUUUGAAUUGAACCCAGGUGAAGGAAUUGGUCGAGGCCCAAACAGUGAGGGCAUGCUUGUAGGAGUCAAAGGUGAUUGUACAUGCAGAAGGUUGUUAUCAAUUGGUACAGAAGAAUUACGAAGGGGAAUGAAGCCAGGAGGGUGCACUUGAGCUUGAGCUGAGACUGAUGGUAACCAUGGUCCUUGGUAUUGAAACUGACCUCGUUGAGGAGUUUGUGCAGGUCCAAAUGCUAAUUGUGUCACUCCCUGGUCACCAUUUGGGACUCUAAAAGGAGCAGAUACCUCCUGACUUUGAUUUGGAACAUUCACAUUAUUCCCGGCCACUAGACUUCCCUAUAAAAAAGCAAGCAUAAUUCUGAAUAAUAAUAAUUAACCAAGUGAACACAAGCCAAAAAUAAAGUAAUCACGUCCAAACUGUAAAAUUUAGAUGAACAUCAAUGAAGAUAAAAAUAUUGAUCUUCAGAAUGGUCAAACUCACUGAUACUGAGGUUAUUAGCAAUUCAAUUAGGGCAACUGCUUCAUCAACUUUCUCAAAUGUUUCGGCUGAUACAUGAACAUACAACUCCUCAUAAGCCAAGUGGGUCUCAUUCAUAUCAGAUGGAGAAAUUUCGACCUGGGAAAGGAACAAGAUUAUUUGAGCAAUUGCAGAAUAUCAUUGUUUCCAUAGUUACAUACUGACAAAAUUUUGAAGGAAGAUGUGAAAUGGAUAAAGAAAAGAAUUAGAAGAGGAAGAUGAAAAGCAAAAUGUUCAGGUGCAAUUAUAUUUAUGAGAGUAAUUUCACAUUACACAUAUGAUUUACCUUCUUUCCUGCAUUUGCUUUGGUACCAAAUACUCGUAUUUUAGCUCCAGUUUCCUGAAACAGUAGUAGAAAUGAAUAGAAAAUUAGAAAUCAACUCAAACACACAUCACAACAAACAAAAUGCAUCGAGCCAUCCCUUGUUUACCAACAAGCAGUAACAUAAGAUGGCACCAGCCAAACAUACCUUUUCUAGUCGCUUGUGAGUCUCUCCUCCUGACCCAAAUAAUAGACCAACAAAAUUGCACCCAGGGUGAUCUUUGACCUGCAGAAACCUCGCCAUUACAAUGUCUAAUCACUAUUUAAGUCACAAAAGGAUAGCUAGGACAGACUUAGAAUGCAUAAAGGUCAGUCCACUCAUAAUAUUGAAAAUCCAACCAGCUAAUUGCACUUGGAAGUGUUUGUGGAUUCAUAAUUUCUAGCCUGUUUACUGAACUCAAUGACCACAAUUACAUCCCAAUCAAGCUUUCAGGCUUAACUGAAUCCAAAUUCAAGUAAUUUGCUUUUUUAGUGGCUAUUGCCUAAUUUAUUUGUGGCACAUAUUUCCAAGGAUCAUCAUCUAAAACUAAAAGAAUAAGAUUACAGAAUCGAAUCCUGAAAGUAAUUAAAUGCCUUUUUAUAUAAUAAUUGCAAUUGCAGAAUAUAGAAAAGAUGAGAUAGAAAUCAAAUCAAGCAAUCCAAACUUUAACCUACAGGAAUUGGAACUGAGGCCUCUUUCAGCAAAGGUUCAUAAUCAGGUGGUGCCUUGUAGCUUGGAUUCAGUUUGAGUAUUUCACCUGGAAAUUAAAAAGACAAUAAUUAAAAGAAAAUGAUGCCAUAUAUAGCAACUACCAGUCUAUGAAAGGAAUGGGUAUAGCAAGCCUAGCAGCACCCAAAGCUUUGACCUGAUUUUUAUUUCUCCCUCUUUUGUUUAUUUACUUUUUCUUUUAGUUCAAGUGAUUAAAAGAGCUAACAAUUUAUAAUCAAGUACAUUUCUCUGGUUCAAUAGCUGAAAUGGUGGUUUUGACAAUAGGGGCCAGAGCUUAUUUUCAUAGAAAAAAUGCUGAGCUAAAAAAGAAAAGGCCAACAGUGAGCAAAAUCACAUGCUACUCAUGAGAUGAGAAGGAAAAAGUCAUAUUUUUUCAAAACCCACUCCAUUGCCUUGUACUCAACUUCAAUUCCUCUACUCUUUCCCUCCAAAAAUUUUUCAAAUUGAAAAUGCUAACCAGUGAGAGAAAUCAGCCAAAUGCACUAGAUGAGAAAUUUUCAAUCCAUUUAAGCACUUGACUGCAUGCUCUCAAAUAGUAAACACUAAAAAUAUCAGGGCACUGCCAACAUUAUUUCUGCAAAGGAAUGUACAAUUGAAAAGAGAUAGAGAAGAAAAAUCAAGCAUACCUAUAAUCUCCCGCCUUUCAAGUUUCAACUCCUUCACCAAAAAUUAAAAUUGUAAGAGCUCAGGAACAUACAAAUGACAAUGAGGAAGUAGAAAGUAUUCUUCGAAAAAGGGAUGCACAAUCAACCAUAAAUUUACCUUGAUGUCAAUUGGUGGACUGGACAACUUGAGAUCUGCACUCUGAUCAGCUUGUAGGUCUUGAGUUUCAACAGGUUCCAGAAUUCCCAACUCCAGCUUUUGUGUGAUUUGAUCCACUCGAGUCUGCCCAAAAUGUGUAUAUCACUUAGUGGCACCUGGAACGGGAAGCUUCCAUGUGAGCCAUUCACACGGAAGACACUGACAUUUUAGCACCCAAUGGGAAAAGGCAACCUUUAAUUGCUUCCAGCUGAGCAAUAUUUUCCUCCCACAAACCAGGGCUAUAAUGCCUCCUACCCCAUUUUAAAUUGAAAUACUUUACAUUUGAAAAUUGACAUUUUGAUAUUGAAGUUGAGAUGUGUGUUUUUUGAAUAAAGAAAAAAUAGUUACUAUGAUAAAGAAUAUUUAGAAGACUUACUACUUGCAGGGAAAACCUAAUCUACCUGAUAUGCUAAGGCUCUUCCCCUUCUAACUGCAGCAUCCUGAUAUGGAUCUGGACCCCAUUUCGUUUUCCUCAGCUCCUGGUUCUUACUGUCUUCAUUGGCUGCAUCAUUGCCUCCUGACUUCUUACCUCCUCUGAAGAUUGGAACCAAUGAACCUGAUAGUUUGUUUUUUGGUAUGACAAAUCCAGACUUUGCAGCAAAUAUAGAGACCUUUGGACCAGUGGUUGAUGCACCCGACGAAGUAUUUAUUGCAGACAUCUUAUUCUUGUGGUGUUCAACUGCAGAUGUCUGGUCAACCUCAGCACUCAUCUUAUUCUCCGGUCACCCUUGUACUACACCUAAACAAAGUAGCAAACCAAUAUAUAAAUAUAGCAACAGUGUAAGGUUUAAUCUCUGACACUCGCCACUUUCAAUAUAACCUGCAGAACUAAUCAUAACAAGGCAAAAACCAAAUAAUAUGAGCUUGUCUGGAACAAAGGAAUUAUGGAAAAUUAUAAGGAAUUCAUUUACACAUCUAUACUUCACACGUUCAGAACCUCCCAACAAUUAAUUUGAAAAUUUACAUCAUUAAUCUCAUGGAAUUUAUUAUACUUGCUCCCCCAUCCUUAUCUCAUUCCACUCCAUCUUCCUCAAGUUCUUCCAUUCCUUCACUUUCCCUUUCUCCUCCUCCAACUUCAAAGUUAUCCCACAUCUCUGCACAGUCCAACCCUAUUUCCCCUCCGUCCAUGUUCAGUUCAGCAUCAGGUUUCCACUUCCUUUCACACUAUUUCCCCUCAGUUUCAUCAAAACAAACCAGCUAAAAAGCAAGUUCAGAUAUUACAGAUAUAACGUAGUGAAACUACACAGACGAAUGAAAAUGCACAUUAUAAUCAACUACUGCACAAAAAUAUUUCCAACAGGAGAUUAAAAAAAAAAAAAAAAAAGACAAAUCCAUUCCACUACGCUACUACAAAGAAUUAUAAGUACGACAAAAAUUUAACAAAAUUACACUUCUCUUAACUUUAUUGCAACCGUUUGGUUAGAUAAAUUUCAGAGGGGGAAAAAAAGAGGAUAUAAAACAAAUUCCAUCAAUACCUAGCCCUAAUCUUAGCAACAAAAAAUUCAUGAGAGAUAGAAGCGUACCUAGGGCUUUUCAAGUGAAAGAGGUCAGAGCAGAGGAUUUGAUAUCAGGAGCAGCCUUGAGCAAAGCAAGCAAAACUGUAAAAGGUAUCUGGAACUCGAGCUUUCAUUUUGGCGUUGAAGGGCCGAGCUACGAUACGGAGCCGUUUAACCGCUAGUCUUGGGCCGCAACCUAACCUACCAAAGUGAACACCCACUAAAUUGGGAUGGGUCCAAUCAACCCGACGCAGCAUUUCGACAUAUUUUGCCAUAGAAUAGGAAAAUAAUAGAAAAAAUCUAAAAUUGAAAUAAUAUUGUAAUAUUAUCUAAGACAAUAAAAAAUAAAUAUUUACAUUUGUUUGAUUUUGAUGAUUAAGAUUAUUACCCCUUUGCUAAAAUUUAGGAAAAUAGUGUUCUUUGUUCAAGCUUAAUUUGGUCCAGCCUCUACCAAACAACCAUGUCUGUCAUUUAUUUUACUGUCCCCAUUAUCGAUGUCAAAUUGCCAUGUAUGGUUUUUAUUUAUAGUAAAAUUUUCACCCAAAUAUAUAUUUAUAUCUUUAAACUUUAUCAAAAUAAUCUUGUAGAGCUUACGGAAGAAAUUUUCACCCAAAUAUAUAUUCAAAUUGCCAUGUAUGCUAUCUGGUUUCGCAAAGACCAAAUGUUACUAUCUUGGAUUUUUGCGUCGCUUACGGAAGAAAUUUUCCCGUAUGUGAUUGGUCUUAAAUCUUCUCAAGAGGUUUGGAAAGCAUUAGAACAAUCCUUUGGUGCUUUAUCUCAAAAUCGACAACUGCAAUUACAUAUUGAACUUCAAUCUCNNNNNNNNNNNNNNNNNNNNNNNNNNNNNNNNNNNNNNNNNNNNNNNNNNNNNNNNNNNNNNNNNNNNNNNNNNNNNNNNNNNNNNNNNNNNNNNNNNNNNNNNNNNNNNNNNNNNNNNNNNNNNNNNNNNNNNNNNNNNNNNNNNNNNNNNNNNNNNNNNNNNNNNNNNNNNNNNNNNNNNNNNNNNNNNNNNNNNNNNNNNNNNNNNNNNNNNNNNNNNNNNNNNNNNNNNNNNNNNNNNNNNNNNNNNNNNNNNNNNNNNNNNNNNNNNNNNNNNNNNNNNNNNNNNNNNNNNNNUUCGAACUUCUACACCAUCAGCUUGAGGGAGGGUAUUAGUGAAACUACGUGACUACAGUUCCGAUAUUCUCUGCAUUAUAAUCUGUAUUAUAAUCUUGUAAAUCUUUUUGGUUAUUUUCUGUUAUAGCUAUUUUUUAGGUUUUAGAAAUAUUAUAUAAAGCAAUGUAAUCUCUGUAUUACAAAUUAUCAAAUACAAUUCAUCUAAGCCUCAAAUACUUUUCUUCUUCUAUUUCUCUUGGUUUUUACAGGCCCAAGGGCAGCUUGGAGGGAUUGAGAGGCAGAUAAAGAAAUUAAAAGUAUGGGAUGCAUAAUUAAUAUUUGACAAGCAGCCAUACCUUUAUUUCUUUCUUCCUUCCUCUUUUUUUUUUCUUAUCACAUUUUUGUAGUUGCAAUCUUUUUUUUACAAUGAUUUUGGUACUUGAAAUUGAUUUCUAAUAUGGGAAUUUGUUGCCUAUUGCUACUGAGGUGAAGUGGAAACUGGAAAUGCAAAGUAUAGAAGUAGCACAUGGAAUUUAGUGGGAAAUUGAGGUAGAGAAGAGGUGAGUUAGUUGAGGAUCUCAAAUAAUUGUGCAUGCAUUCAAGUUUCCGAAAAGCUGAAUUACUUUUAUUUUUCAUUCAAUACCAGCUAGCUUGCAGGCUGCAGUAUUGACGGCAACUGUACUUGCAAUAAAAGGGGUAAACAGAAUAAUCAACUUUUUAAAGAAAUAUGUAAAAUUUUACUAUUAUAUGGAAUCCGGAUUUGAAACUUUCCGUGUUAUGAACGGUAAAAAGAAAGGGUGCGGUCCCGAAUUGAUAUUUCAUGCGGUUAUUAAUUGGAGACAAACUGGACUUUUGCUUUCAUAUGACACCUAACCUCUAACUAGAAAAAAAAAAAAAAAAAAAUUAGACAAGAGGUCAAUUUUAACCACGUUUUGUUAUUUAAAAAAAAAAAAGCAUUUUCCCAUAUCGCUUGUUUAAGAGAGACUAAUCAUAAAAAUGGCAAUGACUGUCUGAAAUUCUGUUAUUGAGACAUACAAAAGUUUUUUGAUGAAAAAAAAAAUUUAAGACCUUAAACUUUCAUCACCACAUUAAAAAAAAAAAAAAAACUCUGUUUUUUAUGGUACGACUUAAACAUAAAGUGAAAAUCAGAAAACAAAACACAAAACCAAACAGCAAAGGUUUACGAAAAAUUGUAGAGGCAAAACAACGACGUUUCUUGCAAAGAUAAGGAACAACAUCUAACAGCGAUUUCUCUUCUUGAAACGUGGAUUCUAUCAUAUUCUCAAACGUGUGAUUUAUGAUUGUGCAAUUCAUAGCACCAAAACCUAACAAUGCAAAAUUGGGAAUACACUCCUAAAUAAAUGUCAACUACCACUUUUAAUUUAAUUAACUUCGCAACUGUCUGUACAUUUUCUUUCUCUCUUCUGGAACCAUCUAUUUAACAAACUCUUCAGAAUUUAUCUUCAACCUUUGAUUGCAUACUUUAUAAUUUAAAACAUUUGGUUUCAGCUUUUAAGAUUAUUUUUUCAUAUAUAAAAGAGGAACACAUGUCCGAACAUGCCAUAAAUUAUUUAAUGCAAGUGGGGAUUCAAAGUUCUUAUCAAAGGAUGUUAUGAAAAAUAUAUAAAUAAUUAAAUAUAUUAUAACUCCACUAAUUACUCUUUGUUUCAACUAUAAAUUAGCAUUUUUUUAGAAGUUAAUUUAUUAAUUAAUUAGUAGAUAUUUUUUUAAAAUUAGAGGAAAUAUUUUUAUAAUUAAUAAUAUAUCCUCAACUUAAAUUAUUAAAGAUGUGGAUAUGGUAACGCAACAGACAAAUGAAUUAAUCACGGAUUUAAAUCACGGGUUAUCUAAGACAACAGAAACACGGGUGUGCUCAAUUUCGGAUCCAUAAUAGGAAUACUCCCAUCUACAUAGGACAAAAGUUUAUUAAAUUAUGUUAUUAUAAGUGAUAAUUAAUUUAGUAAAAUAUUUAUUACAUACUUUAUUAAUUUAAAUAUAAAUAUUAUUAUACAAAAAUUAUUUAAAAAUAUAUAUUUUUAUAUAAAAUUAAACUGAUGUUAUGAUACCUAAUUCCUUUAUUUUAAUUUUUAAACGUUAAUUUGCUGUUUUAAUAUUCAGAAAACACAUUCUAAAAAGGCAGAGAAAAAGGAAGAAAGCACUUGACAUUUGCAUCAAUUUUCCAACCUCCACCAACAUGUAUUUAUUCUGGAUGUAAUUGGUUCUACACAUUAACAAAUAGUUUCCUGUCCCACUUGAAGACAGACUCACAGACAAAUCCACUUCUUUCCUUGUCAUGUGAUGUCUCAAUUCUAACUCUGCACUAACCUAUUAUUAUUAAUUAUGAUUAUCUCCUUGCCUAUUAAUUUAAAAAAAAAAAUUCCUCAUUUUAUGUUUUAUUAAAGGUUUCACUCUCACUGCAGAUAAAACCCUUUUCUUUCUCCCUUUUAUGCCCUCUCUGCUCAUUCUCCAAAUCAAAACUAAACCACAACUGAAAGUAUAAAAAAACCCUAGUGGGUAUAUAUAUCAAUUUCUUCAUUGUUCUCUCUGUUUCUCUCACUUCUCUGCUUCAAUGGGCUCAAAAGCUUUGCUUCUGGCAACUGGGUUUAUGAUGGUACUUGGAGUUGCAAUCUCAGACACAGAGCAAGAUAAAACAGAAUGUGCAAACCAACUUGUGGGUCUAGCCACGUGUCUUCCUUACGUCGGAGGAACUGCUAAAACUCCAGCCUUGGAUUGCUGUACUGGGCUUAAGCAAGUGCUAGAGAAGAGCACCAAAUGCCUUUGUCUUCUAAUCAAAGAUCGUGAUGAUCCAAGUCUUGGUAUAAAAAUCAAUGCUACUCUUGCUGCUACUCUCCCCAGUGCCUGCAAAGCCCCUGCUAAUGUCACACAGUGCAUCGGUAAACUCCUCCUCCAUCACUAACAUCAUCUUAGAUCUAAUGAACAUCUUUGUUCUUUUUGUCUGAAACCCUUUUUCUUGUCUGAAUUUUUCGGCUGAUUAUUGCCGUUUCUGGGGUGUGGAUGAUGAAGAUAUACUACACUUGGCUCCCAAUUCGACAGAUGCUAAGGUAUUUGCAGGAUUUGCCAAUAUCGCCAAAGGGAGUAACAGUUCAAGCACUGGAGCAAGUGGUAAGAAUUUCAGACAAUUUAUUCUAUUACAUAUAACAGAUAAUGAAUAAGCUGUAUAGCUGACUCAUUAGCAUAUUUCCAUUAAAGGGAACUCUACUAAAAGUGGAUCAACUGCAGAGGAGAAGAGUGACGGAGGAAUGGGAAAGAGAUCUAAAUGGGUUGGAGUUGAGAUGAUGAUUUGUGGGUAUUUGCUAUGGGCCUUGACAGCUUUUGGCAUCUGAUGAUACGAGUGAGAUAAUCUGUGGUUUGUUUUACAAAAAUUGUACCUUUUUAAUCUGUUAGCACUGUUUCUAUCCUACAAUUCAGUUCCUUUUCCUUCUAGGUUGUUCUGUGUGAGAUUGCUUUUUGUCAUCAAUUUUUCUUUCUAUAGAACUUGUAUUUUCCCUGCCAUUAUACUUCCAACUGCAUUUGGGAAUUAGAGGGUCCCAUAGAAGUUAAUUCUGUGGGUGGGUUUCUAAAGGAGAAAUUCCCCAAUUUUUACCAGCUAACUAGUUAGUAAUAUUUUCAUAAUGGCUUCUCUCAAUUGUAUGAUUUAUGAUGGAGAUGAUGAUCUAUUUGCUUGGUUUAUGUUUAACCUAGUUGGGGUUGUUUGAUUUGUGAUGCUCCUUAAUUAGAUGGAUUUCAUACGAUUCCAAUCUUUGCCCACCAAACAUCUGUCCUUAAUAUCUGGUAUUAGCUUUUCAAUCCAGGGAAUAAUAUGCAUAUGUGUCAGUUUAUGGUGAAGCAUUGUCUAAAGUCUUUUUAUUUCAUGUCAAUCCAUAUUCAGAAAUUUGUCCCAUUUACAACAGUAACUAUAGUUGCCCAUCUCCUUAAGCUUCUUCUUCUAACCACAAACAACAGAAUCAUUUUCUAGAUUAGAAUGUCAAAGCAUAGCUACAUAAUUUUAGAGUAAUUUUAUGAUACUUGCUGUAUUAGAUGAUAUAUUAGAUGUAUAGGAAGUUUCAUAUUUAAAUUUAAAUUAAUAAAAUUUUAUUUGAGUAGACACACCCCUUUGCUGUAUAUGAGGAAGAAUUAAUCCGUUUUGGACAAUUCACGCAUUAUAUUUUAUAAUUAAAUUAAAUUUUUAUAAUUUAUCACGAUGACCAAAAUAUGAGAUUGCCAUCGUCAUUCUAUUUUUUUUUUUUUUAAUUUAUUGAUUAAAAUAAUUUAAAUGUUUUUAUGAUUUACAUUUAUAUUUCAAUUUUUUUUAUUUGUUGAAUAAAAUAAUUUAAAAUUUUCAAAAAAUUUAUAUUUAUAUUAUAAUUUUUAAUAUUAAAUAAUUGUAAAAAUAAUUAUCAAGACAUUAAGAAUCGUAUUUUUAGUGAAGGUAUUAAUAAAUAAAUAAAAAUUAAAUUGGUCGAUGAUUUUUUUUGUAAUUUUAAAAAUAAAUAUAAAUAUAUUUUUGUAAUUUUAAAAAUAAAUAUAAAUAUAAAUUUGUGAAAAAUUUUAAUUUAUUCUGAUAAAAAAGUUGGGAAGUAAAGUUUAAAAAAAAAAAGACUAUUUUAUCGUAAAGAUAAAAAAUAUAGUUAAUUAAAAAUAAUUAAAAAAAUAACGUGAAAUGAUAUAUAUUAUUUUAAAAUUUUAAUUAAAAUUGAUUUUAUUUUAUUUAAUAAAUUUUAAAGAUUUAAUUUAAUUGUUUAAAAUUAAAAAUUUAAAAUAUAAUUGUGAGUUGAUAAAAAUAUUUAAAUUAUUUAAAUUAAUAGGCGUAUAAAAAAACAUGGACACAAACACAUCAUUGCCUGCACUUCGCCUCCGUUUCAUUAUCACCACUAUCAUAACGCCACCACGAGCACGCCAUGGCCAUCACUGCGGCUAUGGCCAUCCUACACCUUCCUUGCCAUCCCCACAAUUUAGUAGCUAUACGAUCAAAUUUACUAUUUGAAUUAUAUUAUAAAGCUAAAUAUAUUAAAUUUUAAAUUUAUUUUUAAUUAUUAUUAAAAAUUAAAUAAAUUUAAAAAAUAUUAAAUAAAUUAAAUAAAAUAUAACUCAUAUUUUAAAAUCAUAACAAGUGAUGAUUUAAAAAAAUUCAAUUUGAUAUUUUUAGUCUCCAUUAUAUAGUUUAAAGAUAAAAUUAACAUUUUUACCAAAUUUUAACCAUUCCACCUUUUUGUCAAAUUCAACCAUGAGAUCAUGGGUUUGUUUUAGAAUUGGAUUUCCAAUUUCAUAUCAAAUUUUAAUUAAAACUGAUAAGAAUUCGGAUUGAAAUAAAUCAAUGUAAUUUCAAACUAAACUAAAUUUUUUCCUUUUAAAAUAAGGGGAACAUAUAAAAAAAAAUUGGACCUUUCAUAUUUUGUUUCAUUUUUAUGUUUCUGUAGAUUAUAAAUGCUUAUUGAGUUAAGUGAUAAGAAGUCUUAUUAAAGCCAUGAAUUUCGAUGCAAGUUUCUCUCUGUGGUCCUUUUAUGACUCGAUACUCUUUCAUUUUUCUCUUCCUUAAACCUAAUUUUUUAUUUUCUCUUCUCCAUGGAAGACGAUUUGCGUCAAUUGACUAUCAAUGAAAAAUAAGAUAUUGUUGUCCCUAUUAAGAGUUCCAAUAAUAUUCCGAUCGUCACUUAUAAUUUCUAUAUGAUAGGGAUGUUCCUCACAUACAAUCCACUCAAUUUUCAGAAUAUGCAGAUCUCUUUGGUAGAUUUAUAGUAUCUUUUAGAGGGAUACCUAUAAUGGAUUUAGAGGCAAAAAGAUAUUAACGUUAAUUUUAAAGAUAUAGGGAAUGAGAGCCCUUAGUUAUACAAUCAAUUUCUCCUUGUUUGAAAGGAGAUACAUGCUAUGCUGCCGGACCCUAUGAGAGUUAAAGUUUGUUUGGACAUUCGGCAACCGGCGGAAAAAGUUUGUUGGAGAUGAUGGUAUUGUGUUUACUGUAAAAUUUCAAUACGAAAAACUGACUAUUUUUUGCUAUAUAUGUGGAGAUUUUCUGUGACUUGCGUUCACGUUGAAGAAAGAAGAUAUCAAGUUUGGUUGGGGUGNNNNNNNNNNNNNNNNNNNNNNNNNNNNNNNNNNNNNNNNNNNNNNNNNNNNNNNNNNNNNNNNNNNNNNNNNNNNNNNNNNNNNNNNNNNNNNNNNNNNNNNNNNNNNNNNNNNNNNNNNNNNNNNNNNNNNNNNNNNNNNNNNNNNNNNNNNNNNNNNNNNNNNNNNNNNNNNNNNNNNNNNNNNNNNNNNNNNNNNNNNNNNNNNNNNNNNNNNNNNNNNNNNNNNNNNNNNNNNNNNNNNNNNNNNNNNNNNNNNNNNNNNNNNNNNNNNNNNNNNNNNNNNNNNNNNNNNNNNNNNNNNNNNNNNNNNNNNNNNNNNNNNNNNNNNNNNNNNNNNNNNNNNNNNNNNNNNNNNNNNNNNNNNNNNNNNNNNNNNNNNNNNNNNNNNNNNNNNNNNNNNNAGAGACCGACAAGUCUGUGGGUGCGUGAUUUUUGCAAUUCUGCUCCGCCGGAAUUUGUAUCAAGUUUGGACAAUUUCAGUUGGUCUUGUCAAGUUGAUAGAGAUUUAUUUCAAGUUCAAUAUUUUAUUGGCUACGGUUUUAUUAUGAAAAACUCUGAGAGUAUAUUUUAACGUAGUGUUUCUAGUUUCUCGAAAGGUAAUGAUAUACCGAUAAUUGUUGAAAUUUUAGCUUUCUAUCACUGUUUGCUCUUUACGACGAAAUUUUUACCUUUUAAUGGCUGCAUUCUUAUAUACUAUUUGCAAAUGAUUCAAGUUUUUUAGUCUCCAUAUUUAGACAUUUCUGAACUGGAUUUGAUUUUGAACGAUUAUAAUUUUUUGUUAAACUUUAUAACUGAUAUUUCUAUUGGAUGGAUUGGUCAUUAUACAAUUCUACCUACUUAUACUUUGAUCAGAGAAUCUAUUACGUAUGAUUGUCUCUACCUUUGAGAUCACAUUCUUCUUUAUUUGAUAAAAUUUUCUUAAUACAAUUAAUAGUUUUAUUUAAAAAAAAAUACUUAUUGAGUUACAAAAGUUAGAAAAUAAUAAUAUUUUAGGUAAAAUAAAUCGUAAAGUGAUAGAUCAUAAUUUUCUUUUUUUUUUUCUUUUAUUAUAAAUAGAUGAAUUCUAUUUAUAAAAUUCAUGCCCAAAUAAAAUAAAAUAUAUAAUUUAAUGGUGUUGAGACGUAAUAUCAUAAAUACAAUAGUUCGUUGUAUUGGCGGAUGGGGACAGAGACAGGAGUUCUAUUUUGGCAAAAUAUCAAAGAUCAUCCAGUUGUCAUAUUUUUCCCUCUUACAUAUCAAUCAUCAACCAAAAACAAAAAAAAAAACGAAAAAAAAAUAAUUUUGGUUUACGGGGCAGAGUAGUGGGCCGCUGUAACCAGGUUCCAAUAGAAUCGGAAUCUGGGCCGGUUUGAUCCUAAAAUAUGGACCAGUUUCGCUCCGUUUUGGACCCAAAACCAGAUCUACAACACAAAAAUGAAACCAUCCUCCGCCUAAAGACUACAGAGUAAGAGAAGCAUACUGGAGGAAGUUCUCGGCUUUACCGAGAAAAUUUUCUCUUGAUACGAGCUAGAAAGAGAAUUUUCUUCAAGGAUCUUCCUCUCCGGUCUCCAUUCAUCUUUCAUGGACUAAUUUAAAUGGGAUACGUUCACUUAAUAAUUUUUUUUUUUUUUUUUNNNNNNNNNNNNNNNNNNNNNNNNNNNNNNNNNNNNNNNNNNNNNNNNNNNNNNNNNNNNNNNNNNNNNNNNNNNNNNNNNNNNNNNNNNNNNNNNNNNNNNNNNNNNNNNNNNNNNNNNNNNNNNNNNNNNNNNNNNNNNNNNNNNNNNNNNNNNNNNNNNNNNNNNNNNNNNNNNNNNNNNNNNNNNNNNNNNNNNNNNNNNNNNNNNNNNNNNNNNNNNNNNNNNNNNNNNNNNNNNNNNNNNNNNNNNNNNNNNNNNNNNNNNNNNNNNNNNNNNNNNNNNNNNNNNNNNNNNNNNNNNNNNNNNNNNNNNNNNNNNNNNNNNNNNNNNNNNNNNNNNNNNNNNNNNNNNNNNNNAAAAAUAUUCAUAAUUAAAAAAAAAAAAAAAAGACAAAGACGGUGUUUAAGAGAUACUAAAAAUUGUAUAAUAAUAUGUGGCGUAUAAUGACAAACAUAGACCUACACCAAGAUUUGACCCUUAAUACCUAGAUUUAGCCAAACCCAAAUUGUUAAUUUAUUUAUUUAUUCAAUUUUAGUAAUUAUUGUAUUUCAUAAAAAUUUAAAAUUUUUCACUAUAUAAAAUGUUAUAUAAGGAGGAUAAAUCACAAAACUCUCAACGGCAUACGCAAUGGAAAAAAUAGCUAUCCAGCAAAUCCAAGCCGUUAAAAUUUUAUUUAGUUUCUACAACAAUGCCAGCCAGACGACAUUGUUAUCCUUGAAAACCAGACAAAACGCCAUUCCCCGCAUCUCUCUCUAUAAAGUCUCUGGCUUUUUUCCGUCUAAAAUCCACCGGUGCCAAUUCCAUGGCUUCUCCAAAUCCAAAUCUCCAUCUGGGUCUCUCUCUUCUCUCUCUAUUUCUCUUCCUUUCUCUCUCUAAGCCUACUGUUUCUGCACAGGACCCAAUUUCAGUCUAUGAAAUCUUGCCCAAGUAUGGCCUCCCAAGCGGGCUGCUGCCGGAUUCAGUAACGAACUACACGCUUUCAGAUGACGGCCGCUUCGUUGUUCUGCUGGAGAAGCCGUGUUAUAUUCAAUUCGAGUACUUGGUCUAUUACGAUAAGCAAAUUAUUGGCAAGUUGAGUUAUGGGUCAAUUACGGAUUUGAAAGGGAUUGAGGUUCAAAGAUUCUUUUUAUGGUUUGAUGUUGAUGAAAUCAAGGUUGAUUUGCCUCCCUCCGAUUCUAUUUACUUCCAGGUGGGCAUAAUCAAUAAGAAACUUGAUGUCGAUCAGUUUAAGACUGUUCACUCUUGCGGCAAUAAGGUCUCUGGGUCUUGUGGCGGUUUCUGGAAUCGAAUUAUAGAGGUAUUGUUUUGUUUGGGCUGUUGAUUAACGAAUUCCUUUAGCUAUUUUAGUUCAAUAAUUUGAACUGAUGUUGUCUAAAUUACGUCUAAGUAGUUCCUGUUAUUAUGUAUUCCUUUGUGGACUAGUUAUUUGUUGUUCUUGAUUAGGAUAACUUUAAUAAAUAUUAGAAAUAUUUUUGGAAUUGAAUAAUCCCUGCUCUGUUUCUCAACGUAAAUGGUUUUUAUAUCUGGGUUUUUAGAAUUAGAAAUAAUAUUAAAAAAAAAACUAAAGGAAAGUGCUUGUGACUUUCCAAAUGAUCUUACUUUCCUGAACUAGAAUCAUUGCUUUUUCAUUUGUAAAAUUUAGUAUCCCCAAUGGUUAUGUCCAUUUGCAUAACGUGAUUGGUUGGACAUGUUUGGAUCAGUAUCUUACACAGGUUGGAAUGGAGCCGCUUUUUUUUUUCUUAGGCCAAAAAUAGCAAGUUGAAUCUGUGUAUUAUCUAGAAUCAACAGUCUUGUGUACUCUCUAAUAUCAUGGUUUCUUUAGGCUUGACAAUGUCUAUGUAAGAUACAACAAAAUAUUAACAGUUGGAUUGAUCAAUUCCAGUAUCAUUGUGUUUGCAUCUUUUUUCCAGAUUGUUACAUCUCUAUAACAGGCCAAAUAUUCUGGUAGUAGUCUGUGUUGAAUUAUGAUAAUAUUUUUGUACAGGAGUUCUAUACACAGGGUUGAGCUUUAAUCGUUUUUGACAAUUUCUGGUUUACUCUCUGUAAUUUGUCUUAACUUGUGGCCUCAUUUUUUCACAAUUUGCAGCUUCCAACUCCCAUGGAUGAUAUUCAGAUGCUAAUUACCGAGUAGAGGUUUCUGCUGCAUGGUAAAGUAGCUGAAAAGCAUUGAUAUUCAAGGAGUCAGCAAUUAAUCGGUAUGGUUGGGACUCAGAAAUCAGGAGUAUGUGAGAGUCAUCUCUUAAGUAGUCAUGAGAAUUUGGCCCCUUAUUGAGCAUAAUCAUGCCAGUGAGCAGGGGAAGCUGCAUGUAUAUGUUAGAGAUGUUAGUUAUGAAGGUGAACUAUUAUGAUGUGUGUAUGAACUUUGUUGAACAAGAAAACAAGUUGAGCUUGUGAUUCCAUGUCAUUUGUGUGAUAUUGUUAAAUUUACAGACUAAUGUUAUGAAUGCUUUUGAAGAAAAAUGGCAUGAACAACUUGUGUUUAGAAUAAUACCUGAUUGUAUUUUUGUGUUUAGAAUAAUAUCUGAUUGUAUUUCUGAGUUUCGUUUUUAAAAAAAUAAAAAAAAUAAAAACCUUCAUUAUUAAAAUUAUCAUUAUUGCAGCAUUAGAACCAUGAAAUUUAAUUCCAUGAUACUGAAAUUGCAUCACAGAUAUUAAAUUCAAACUCUAAUAAUCCAUUACGCCAAAGGAAAAUAAUAAUGGCGGCAUUAGAUUCUUUCCAUUAAACUAAUUACAGCAUGACUCGUGGCAUGGCCCAGUGUUGUAUUAUUGUAUUAACUUAAUAAAAAAAACAUUAUCUUAUUAUUUAUGAUAAUUAAUAAACAUUAAUAUGAUAUUUUAAAAUUAUUAAAAAUAUUUUUUAAUUAAAAUAAAUUAUAUUUUAAUUUUUAAAGUUUAGUAACACAUAUAAUUUAAUCUAUAUAUUUGAUUUUAUUAGUAAAAUAAUUCUUUUAGUUAUAAAUUAUCUCUACAUUAUUAUAAAUCGAUCAUUAAAUAUUAUAUUUAUUUAUAAAUAAAUAUUUAUAUUUUUUAUAAAAUAAUCCCUCAUCAUUAUUGAAUUUUAAUAUCUUACGUUUAACAAUAAAAAUAAAAUAAAAAUUAAAUCGAGAAUUUUCACAAUAUAUAUUUAGAUUCAAGUCUAAAUAAUUUUUUCCCAUUUAAUUUCUUAUUUUAAGUGAUUUAUCUAUUUUUUAUUUAAUUGGGUAAAAAUGACAAACUUUUUAUUUUAUUAUUUUUAUAUAUAAAUAUUAAAAUUUAAUAAAUAAAGAGAUUAAUUUAUAAAGAUAAGGGUUUAUAAAUAAUUACAAUAUUCGAAAUUAAUGUAUACAAAAUAUAAAAAUUAAUUUUAAUUAAAAAUAUAAAAUUUAAAUUAAGAGAUUAUUUUAUUAAUUAAACAAAAAUUUAAGAAUUAAAUUUAAAAAUAUAGAGCACUAAAUAUGAAGAAAUAAAUUAUUAUUUAUCAAUAAUAUUUAACGAUAUUAAAAAAAAAAAAAACUAACAUAAUAGAACAAUAAAAGGUCUUUUUAUUAUAAAUUAAAUUAUAGGAUCUAUUUGAAAAUGCAUUACAAGAUAAUUUUUUAUAAACCUUUUUUUAUAAAAAACAAACAAAAGAAAGUAUAAAAAAAUUAUUAUUUAAUUUACGUAUUAUAUAAAAAUUCAUUAAUUCAUUUUUUAAUUUUAAAAAAAUAUUAAAAAAUUUUAAGAGUUUAAAAAUUUACUAAUUAAUUUCUUUACCAUUUUUACCUUUUUAUCUGUUAAGUAUUAUUAAAAAAGAUUUCAAAAUGCUCUCUCAAUAUAAAAGAAAUAAUUAAUAAAAUUUUAUAAAAUUAAAGAUGAAUAAAUGAAUUUUUGCAUAUUAAAAUAUUUAAUAAAUAAAAUAAAUAAUUAAUAAAAUGUUCAAUAUUUAAAAACAUUUUAAUAAAAAAAACAAUUAUUAAGUUAAGGAUGCAUGUGUUUUUUUAUGUUUCCAUGGGUUUUAGGCAUGUGAACCUUAUGUUUAUAUCAUAAGAUAAAGUCUGUUUGAUGAAUUGAUUAUUAGAAAAAUUCAUGUAGGCGAAGGAAAUGUGUUUGUUAAUAUUAAUUACUAUAGGUUUAGCAUAAUUAAUUGUCAAAAGUUGACAGCUUAGCUACUUAAUUAAAAAAGGCUAUUUCACAUUUGAGUAGCUUUCAUUUGUUUUUCAACUCUGGUCUUCUGCCCCUUAAAUAAAUAAAAUGGGAAUUGAUUCAAAGGCCACUUUGUGUAAUGACCUCUAAGUGUUUGGUUUUAUGUCAGAAUCACACUACUGUAUGCUAACAUGAUCUCACUGAUGAUAUUUUUUUAAUGUCCACUUGUCACUUAUUAAACAAUUCUAUUAUAAUUAUAGGCUUCCUUUGUAAAACCAACUUUUUUUAAUAAAAUAAUUUAAAUAAAUUCAUAUGAUGCAUGAGGUUUAUUUUUUAAAAUUUUAUUCUAAACAUGAAAUUGACAAAAAAAAAAUCUAAUUGAAAUUUUUAAAAUUUUUUUAUUGGAGUUAUCAUCCUGAAGGUUUGUUUAGCUUAUAAUUUUGUAACAAGCAUUUCUGUGCAGUUUCCUUUGACUUUAAGCAUGCCAAACUCAUGCUUCAUUUCUAAUUCUAAUCUUGCACGCCUAUAAAUACACAGACUCUCGGUAAUUAACCACUAAUCACAAUCUCUUCAUCUCUCUCUCUCUGCCAUCUCUCAGAAAUUUGAAAACUUCAGCAACCAAAACGAGAGAUCAGAUGGAGAAUCCAACGGAGUUCUCUAUGCAUAACAAUGGCCUUAAGGUGGAAGACAAAGAUCAGAGGGAUGGAAAGAGGAAAACAGUGAUGCGAAGGAGAAUGAUGAUGGAAGAGGGAGACAUCAAUCAAAUGGCUGAUGCUUUCAUCAACAACUUCCGUAAUCAGCUUAAGCUUGAAAGGGAAGAAUCCUUUAAACGUUUUCAGCAGAUCAUCUCUCGAGGGAUUUAAUUCCUCAACCAAGCUAAUGUGUAUUCAAAAAUAAACCAGAAAAAUAAUUUCCUUUUAUUAUAUGAUGAUAUCUGGUCCAAUUCCUUAGACUGAAUCAAUUCCAUCUACAACUUUUGUUAAUCAAUGAUUUAAAUGAGGGAAUUGUAAUAAGCCACAAAUAAAUAAAUAAAUAUAAAAUUCACAAAUUAUUCAAAUUCUUUUGUUCUCGAAAUUCCUUGGAAUUCUCUCUAUGAGAAUUUUGUUUUUAAAAUAUUCUUUUAUUGUCCUUCAAAUUUCGUAGAAUUAAAGUUUACAUCAAAUUGAUAUAAGGAAAAUUGCAUAAAUUUAUAAAUCUAAUUUCAAUAAUUUUGUCAGAUAUAUGAGGUUCACAUUCCCUCAGUCAAAUUAAGGCCUCGAAAACCUAGGGACGAUGCCAUUUCAAUUUUGGGAUUCAAAUUAAAAUCUCUUUCUAUAACCUAAAGUCAUAUGUAUAUACUUCUAAGCCUAAGUCUUUCAUUCAUCCAUAAUAUAAAAUAAGAAAGAGAUUUAUAUAAAAUUUUAUGUAUUUUUUUU